UACACAUAACACAAGAGUCGCGACCUGAAGACAUCGGUACAGAAAUCGUGACUUAAAAUCACAGCGUCCCCUGGUGGCAACAGCAAAUGUCUUGUUUUUCUAUGUGUUACAGUUUGAUUCACUACUCGUAGGGCCUUCAUUAAAUCAACGUAAAAAUUUGAUGCAUGUGUUCAAAACAAGAUGAAGAUCUAAAGUUAACGAAAUUGCAACUUUUCAUAAUACUGUGUGACCGUGGUGUGGCUUCCAGUUUGAGGAAUGAAAACAUCUAUAUCUGGCAGAUGUGCUGCAAUAUUUAGUCACUAGAUGGCAGUGUCAGACCAUGCUUUGUGUUAUCUAUGCAUUAACAGACUGUGUUUACAGGGUGGCCAACUUUAGAGGAGAAUUAAACCUUUUACAGCAUUGCUCAAACUUUGGUUUUAGUCUCAAUCGCUAAGUUCUUCCUUCAUGACAACUCUGAGGGGGGUGUAUUUUAUUUUAACUCCCUCGUUUAAGCGAUAUAGAUGUUUGAAAUUCACGUGACGUCACAGGGACGCGCACCCACUUCCUGGUGCCAUGCUGCGGUUUCAGCUCAAUAGAGUGAGCAGCACACGCCUCAUCAGACUGUCCGCGGCUUCCACUCCCAUAUCGUAUGAGAAACACGGUUUGAAGUUCUGCUUGUUCUCCUGAGGGACACGUCAAAGACGUCUGCGCUCUGUGAUCUGUGUAUUGGUUUUAAGUACCUGUAGAAGGUCCAACUUGACACACAACUUGAAUCCAACCACACUGAACACUGACUCCAGGGACAGACGAGCCUGAAGGACACAGCUGUGAUGACCAUGUUCUGUCUCUUAUGGCAAAGCAGAAAUAUUAAACACUGGGUUGACCAGCAUAAAGCUGCAGAUCUCCACCAUGUUGCAACUGAGGAUUUCAGGAGCUGCAUUAAUGAGGAGCAGAAGCGCACUGUUAUGAAUGUUUUGUGUUGUGUAUGAAGCACCACAUAUUUCAGAUAGAACCAAUGUACUGGGGUCUGGGUUUGUAUCCUAAUGGUUAAAUGCACAUACUUUAAAUCGCUUUUGAUAAAACGUGAGAAAGAAAUACAACAUUGUAUACAUAAAAUGUCUUUCUACCUCAUCUGUAAUAUUCAAGGUGAUGAUCUCCCACAGAGCUGUUGAUAACAGUCCACAUCAAGUCUCUCCACUUCCCUCAGUGUGAAAACAUAAUUAUAUAAUUAAUGUGAGAACUGUUUACAACACUGAUUUGUGGACAUUAUAAUCUUAUCUACACUGUCUAAUUCACUCGACAACUCCAUGACAGACUAAAUAAACGAUGUGAAAAUAGUAAUGGUGGAUAUACCAGCCUGUAUCAGAAUAUUGGUGAAACAUAGUUACUAUCACAUGCAACGUACACGUGUAGCGUAUUGAUAGUAACUUAUUAAAAAAAUAAAUAAAGUCACAACCAAAACAAGA